rnacentral:rRNA from 1 species
GAUGAACGCUGGCGGCGUGCUUAACACAUGCAAGUCGAACGGAGCACCCCUGACGGAGUUUUUCGGUACAAACGAAAAGGGAAUGCUUAGUGGCGGACGGGUGAGUAACGCGUGAGUAACCUGCCUUGGAGUGGGGAAUAACAGCCGGAAACGGCUGCUAAUACCGCAUGAUGUAUCUGGAUCGCAUGGUUCUGGAUACCAAAGAUUUAUCGCUCUGAGAUGGACUCGCGUCUGAUUAGCUAGUUGGUGAGGUAAUGGCUCACCAAGGCGACGAUCAGUAG